AAGAAGUUCAUUAGACUGCAGGAAAGAUUUCCAAUUGAUGCUUUGAAGCAGAUCUGUUGAAGUAAAAGUUUCUGUCUCGUUCUUAUGAACAGGUUAUUUUUUUAAAAACCAAACGAAACCGAGGUUUUAAAAUCUCCCUUUUAAUUCUCACGAGAUUUUGCGUAGAGAUGAAUCGUUGCGUGAAGGAUGUAUUGGCAGGAAGCUUUUUCGAAAACUUUCGGAAAAUUUGAAGAUGGUACAAAGUCACUGGUAAAAGAGGUAGGGGGGGGGGGCAGGUGUGCUUCGUGCAGACGUACAAGUAACACGGAGAUAAUAUUCAAACAUAGAGAAGGAGCAGCCUUUGCGAGCGCAAGAGUGUGAGUGAUCACGUCCUGUACUUUCCUAAGCACCUGCGGAGUCAGAACGAAUCCGGCAGGUGCAAAAAGGAUACGGGAAACCCCGAAGACUUUGUGCAAUCCUCGCUGAACGGCGCGCUAUUGAAUUUUUGUCUAUUCACGAAUGACAUCCGGGCGGAGUUUCAUCACGUGAAAGUGCAUGGAGCUUCGACAAUUAACAUCGCAUCCAUUCACGUAAGCACGACGGCAUUGCAGGAAGAGGGAAAAGAAAAAAAAACAAGCGUCCAUUCAUGAAAACUCUUAUCUGCAUAUAUACAGCUAUAGUCAGCCAGCCCUAUUUCAUUCACACGCUCGUGGAAUAGGUUGAAUUUAUCGCUGUCAUCUAUUCUGGACCAUUUUCACUUUAGAGGCUCAUUAUCCCACGCCUCGUCUGCUUCCAAUCUUUUUCUGAAAGGCCAAGGCCACUCCAAUCUCACCGGCACAAGUUCCUAUCAACAGGAAACAAAUCAACGCAUUCGCUUGGAUUUCUCUCUGAUGUAACAAAAUGAAAAGAAACUCUUCGCCCAGCUGUGUGAUCUACCGUGCAAUUUGUGAAAGCGUAGACGACAUUGGGAGAGCCACAGGAAUCGAAU